CCUUUUUCAAAUCAGUGAAAUUAAUCUCCCCGUGAAGAAGCGGGGAUACUCAUAUAAGACGAGAAGACCCCAUGGAGCUUCAAACCCAACUACACCCCUAGCUCUUAUAGCCCCACAACCCCCCUAGGCACCGUGUGCUUGGUUUUAGGUUGGGGCGACCGCGGAGUACAAUAAAACCUCCACAAUGAAUGGGAACACCCCCUUAUCUGAGGGCCACACCCCCUAAGAAUUAGAACACUAACAUAAAAUGAUCCAUUACUUGAUCAAUGAACCAAGUUACCCUGGGGAUAACAGCGCAAUCCAUUUCAAGAGCCCCUAUCGACAAAUGGGUUUACGACCUCGAUGUUGGAUCAGGGUACCCCAGUGGUGCAGCAGCUACUAACGGUUCGUUUGUUCAACGAUUAAAACCCU
rnacentral:rRNA from 1 species